AUACGUAGGGUGCGAGCGUUGUCCGGAAUUACUGGGCGUAAAGAGCUCGUAGGUGGUUUGUCGCGUCGUCUGUGAAAUUCCGGGGCUUAACUCCGGGCGUGCAGGCGAUACGGGCAUAACUUGAGUACUGUAGGGGAGACUGGAAUUCCUGGUGUAGCGGUGAAAUGCGCAGAUAUCAGGAGGAACACCGGUGGCGAAGGGGGGUCGCUGGGAAGAAACGGACGCUGAGGAGCAAAAGCAUGAGUAGCGAACAGGAUUAGAUACCCUGGUAGUCCAUGCGGUAAACGGUGGGCGCUAGGCGUAGGGGUCUUCCACGACUUCUGUGCCGUAGCUAACGCAUUAAGCGCCCCGCCUGGGGAGUACGGCCGCAAGGCUAAAACUCAAAGGAAUUGACGGGG
rnacentral:rRNA from 1 species